GCCCGAUUAGCUCAGUGGUUUAGAGCGUGUGGCUUUUACCUGCGACUCCCAUCCUUGUCAUAUGGGGCCGCAGCCAAAGGCACCUCAAGGUCGCGAGUUCGACCCUCGCAUCGGGCU